UGUUUUUAACACCAUGGCAGGGUUGUUGGUUGUAGCUGUUGUAUAACCUGCCCAACAUCUGAUUCACCAGGUACCUGCCUGAACUUACCAUUUACACAUCCCCUACCCUUUACCCCUCCCUUCCUUCUCUACCCAUUGUCUUCCUAACUUCCACGUAUUUACUUUUUCACAGACUGCCUAUUUUCUACCUUGGAGAACUCAUUACUACAGCAGUCUCUCAUUCUUACCUUUUGUAUUCCUUCACCCUUAUUUCCCCCUUGUUCCUCCUCUCCCCUCCUUUCUCUACCCAUUGAUUUCCUAACUUCCACCUAUUUAGAUUUUCACUGACCUGUCACACCUUUUUAGCUUCUUGCCUACCUCGGAGAUCUGAGAACACCAGCAGAGUCUCUCUAUGCCUGAAGAAGGGUGUUUGUGCCCCAAAACUUGGAAGAACUUUGUUCCAGCUACUCAGUUGGUCUUAUAAAACAUAUCACAUCUACCCAAACAACUGCCCUUCCUUUAACACUGUGGGUUUCUGUUUGAACUCUCUAGGUUAUCUUGCGAAUCAUGUUUGCCCACUUAACACUGCUAAUAUUGCGUGGCACCCCACAUCACUCUUGAAAGGAUCCUGUGGCGCCCUGGUUGAGUAUUAUCAAAAACAAUACCAUGUAGAAUGAAAAGAUUCUUCUUCUUCUGUGUAUUUAAUAAUUGUCACAAGUUAUUCAUCUUCAGCCAAAAUAACAGUAAAAGAGAAUCUGCUAGAGCUAGAAUUAGACCUGUGGUGGAGUACCUUUUGGGUGCUUGCCACUUUAAGGGCUGAAGCAGGCUGCAAGGCAGCCUGCAGGUGACUGCAGAGCCUAUCAGGUGGUCAUAUGACAGCCAGGAGGUCACCUGAUUGGAGCAGGGCUGAGCAGCUUCAGCAUAAGAGCAGGCCCUGAGGAGCAGAGCUAGCAGUUGUUGGAGGGAUGUUGCUGCUGAAGUAGUAUUGCCCAGUUGGAGCUCUUACUCUCUCAGGAACAUACUGGAGAUCAGGGUUGGAACUAUGGGGAUGGAGGAGAUUCCUAGGGACUCAAAGGGGUCCUAAGCUCUGAGGAAAUGGCUAUGGGCCUAAGCAAGAGCUAGGCCAACCUAGGAAGGGGGCUUAGAGAGUGUGGACCUACUGAGGGGUUAGGCCAGCCUUUGAAUAGAACUAGCGGUGACUUGGGCCAGGGCUUAGGUGAGCCCAAUGAAGUAAAGGGCUACAGGGUAUAAGCUCCUGGGGGCUCUAGGCAAGCCUGGUAUGAGAUGUAUGGGGGGACUCCUACUGAGUAGGGAGGUCAGCUGCUGCUACACUGAUGCCAGGGAAUCUUGACUGGUCAAAGCAAGGGAGCCAGGGCUGAAAGCCCAAAGGGCAAGUAAGCCCACCAUGACAGGCAGGCCAGGGCCGCAGAGAACUAUUGGCACCCUGACUAGCCUGGAGGUGGGGCCAGAGCCUAAAAGAGGCUGAAGGUCCCUUCGAUGGGGGAGACAUCAUUGCCAAAAAGAGGCUAGGUGUCAGCUGGCCAACAUACUGGUAUGAUGGAGGCUGAAGCUCAGCCUCCUGAUGGGAGACAUCCUACAAGGGGCCUGGGAGAGAUGGGGUCAGUGACCGAGGACAUGUGAUGAGAUGGAGGCUGCAACAGAGUGCCCAGGAGUGCGUAGCCCAGGGAGAACAUGUAGGAGCCCAAUGAGGGAAUGAAAGACCAGGGCAGGUAGGCCUGCAGUGGUCCUGGGGAAUGACCUAAAACUACACCCUUCUGGGGUUGGAUGGUGUGGUGGGACUGCCUGGGGCAGGGCAGUGUCCAGAAAAUAUCACACCUAAAACUAUUGGGUGCUGGAAAGCUUCAGCCCCCACUGCCUUGCGGGUGACCCGGUGGAGAGGGGAAAGGCUAGGGGAGCACACCCUGACAAAAAAGCACAGGGCCCAGGGUCCAGACAUAUUGACAGUCACCUGAGGCCUGAGUGGGCCAUAGGCUGAGAGUGAGGUCCAACCAUGUCAAUAGACACCUGAGGCCCAAGGAGCAUAAAGCCCAGAGGCCCCAGUGAGGGGCAUGUCUAAGGACACCUGUGGCCAAGUUUGGGCCAGAGGCAGAGUGUGCCCCAUCAAUGGGGCCAGGGGAGUUAUAGUGGAAGUGAUUUUUGGAUGCCAUCUGCAAGGCAUGGAACACAGUAGAGGGGAGGUUGGAGCAGUGUAUUAUGCCUUUGGCAUCAGGGCAUUAAAUGGGCAGCCUCCCAUACCUUUCCAUCCACUUUUAAUACAUCAAAGCACGGUGGGUGGACUACCCUAGGCAGGUGGGCGGGCCCUGGAGAUGACCCCUAUCACACAUGUCAUGUAGCAACCAAUUCUUAUUACACUCAAAUUAUUGUUUAUCAACUGUCCUGAUAAACGCAGUGUAACUUGUUUUAGCACAGCCAAAUGAAACUGAUAGCAGUAAUACAGUCCAUAAAAUUAAACAGAAAUAAUGCAAAGCAUUGUUGUGUGUUGCAAAUGGUGUAGAACAAAAACCACAUAUAAAACUAUUCAAAAGACUACAGAAACUUCUGACUCCAUAGCAUUCAGAAUGAAAUCCAUAUCUCAUCAGUUUAACUAGAUGAUAACAUCUCCAUGUAUGUAUGUAGCUUCCAGUCUUUUUAGUUGAAGCUUUUCUUUUCAAUGGAUCUGUAUGAACGUAUGUCCUAGUAUAGCUAACAUCUCACUUGUUUUGUUUCCACUCAAUUUCUGCCUGUUUUUCUCUCAGCAUGUUUUCCUUUCUAGUAUUCAUUUUUAUUUAUUCCAUCUUGGCUUUUAAAACUAGAUGUGCACUGAAUUCUGUUGUAUUUGAAAGUGUUUUUGUUUAAUCACUGAUCAAACUUAAAUAUUAUUUUAUAGUGAUAAAUGUAGCAGUUAGCCUGUAGCUGACUGAUACAGCCACAGCGUGGCAGGAGUGUUCUUUAAUUGUAGUUAUGACCCACUACAGCUUAAUGUUGACAAAAUGGAAAACCUUUAACAUUCUGGAUGAUGCUCCAGGGGACUGUCAUGCUACUUGGUCAAAAAAGGAAGAUGCAGACCCGAAGAGAGAAAAAAUACUGAGAACUAGAAAAGGAAAAAGGUGGAUUCAGGUCAACAAAAGAGUCACUGGAGGGUUGGAUAAUAGCCACAUCCUGAAAAACAUUUCUGCAUAAGGAGAGGGAAUAAGGUUCUUCAAAGAAUUUGAGAGAAACUCAUCUUCCACUUCUAAAUUAAUUAGAGAUCAAUAAACCUGAGCUAAAUUUUUUAAAGUUGUUUUCCAUCUCUUUUCUUAGUUUGCACAGCUCUAGCUCAAUGCAAUCUAGGUGAUAACAAUAUAUAAAUAUUUACUUCUAACCGUAACUCAGUGCUUUUUCAUGUCUUAUGUAAAAUGGAUGUAUUGGAUUCAUACCAGCUGUUAGAAGACAAAUGCUUGAAUUAGGGGAAAAAUCAAAUUGGUAACAGUGUUUGUUGACGACAAGGAAAUAGAACAAGUACUGUAUUUCACUUGGUAGUAGUUGGUACGUGCCCCACCAAUGUUGAAACAAAGCUCACAGUGCCAUUGGGGUUAAGGAAGAGACGUCAACCUGCCUAUGAUUAGUACUAUUUGUAGAGCACCACCAGCAGUGUACCAGCUCACUGAAGCUUAGCCAUUUUCAGCAGAAUACAUUUAUAUGAUUAAGACAGGGCAUUUUAUGAAUAAGGGCCACACAGAAGAAAACAGGAAGACCUUCCAGUGGGAUCAGUCAAGAGGCAGUUGAUGGCAUCAUUGGAAGAAUGUGUGAUGUAGGAACCCAUCAGCAAAUUUAGAGGCUUGACCUACUUCUGUCCAGAACCAGUCAAAUGGACCUUGAUACACUUGAUUUGACUUUUCUUUGAAAAAAAAAAAAAUAGGAGGAAAGGAAAAAAACACUGUUUAAGGCAGUGGUUCUUAAGGUUUUUAGCCUUGGGGUACCCCUCCAUAAUUUUUUGGAAUUUAGCAGCACAUAGUUGAGAACCACCAAGUUACAAUCUAGUUGGUGACAGGGACAGGACUUCAUUCCACCUGUGCCUUGCUUUUUCCAGCAUCUGAUCCUUUCCUGGUCUCUGCCUGCAGGAGCAAGCUCAGCCCCCACUGCGUAGCUGUUCCUCCAGUGACUGGAGCUACAUGCACCUGUGGGUCCAUAUUGUGGUCCCAGAAGCAGGGGAGAGACAGGUUGGGAAACAAGCCAGGCUGAAAAAUGACCCACAGCUCCAUAUCCAACUGUGUGCUUGCAUGGCAGAGCUCACUGCUCGGACUGUGGGGUGUGCUGGGGGGCAGGGAGCAACCUUGGGCACUGCUUGCUUGCAAGAUGCUGGGUGCCCGGUGGGAGGAACUAUUAUUUACCUCUACUUCCUGGGCCAGGCACCAUGACACCCAUAGAAGGACCUGGUGGUAGCACACCAGUUGAGACUUAUUGAAGAAAAACAGACCCACUUAAAACUGUGAAAUUGAAACCAGUGUUGCUUCUGGUUCAUUAUCACUCCUUCAAUUAGCAACACAAUGCAAAUAAUUUAUCUGUUCCCUUGAGAUGCAUUUGCAUUAGUUUCUAGGGGAAAUGAAUACAAAGACAAAUUCCUUACUGGGGCUGUACCUCUUGGAUUUUAAAGCAAAAAGAUAUGUGAGAAAGCAGCUUCUGUCAGUUGCAUGAUAUUUCCACAACCAGCAUCCCCCUAACUUCCACUAGUAUCAUUAUUCAGUAACAUGCAAGUUAAAAUCUGCUGUUAUUCCUGCCAGUCAGUAUCAAAAUUCUGAUCGAUAAAGAGGAUUAGCCCCCAAGAACAGGGCUGGGAUCCUAUCUUCCAGUGCAUCUGUAGAGUGCCUCCUGAAGGAGGUUGACACCUUUCAACAGUCAUCAUUUGACUCCAAAAUUGAAACAGUGAAACCUAAGACUGUCAACCGCUUACAGUGUUUAAUAGGCUUGCUUUCUGAGCAAAAAUACCUUGUCUCUCCAAAUAAUUGAAACCAGUAACUGAAGACAUAGACAGUUAAUAAGCCCAUCAGACUUCUAUACCAUCUCAAAAUUUAAAUUGUAGCUGUCUGCUUUGAGACUUACUUUUGAAAAUGCCAAAAAAGAACAAAAAGCCUGACACUUGCCUAAUGACUGCUUUUUUAGUUUUGCUAGUAGCAGAGCCAUCAUAGUGAAAUUCAGAAUUUCAUUAGUUUUUGUUGUUCAUUCAGAUGUCAUUUAUGUAAUUAGUUAUUUUUUCUCUUUUGCCUCCUGCUUGUUUAGCUUGCUAUUUUAGGAUUAAAGUGGAAAGUGUUACACAAACCAAAAUGGAGGAUUAUAAACAUUAACCUUCCAUCCCUCACAUCAUCUUCCCCUCCCUUUGGAAAGCUCUGAAGGAAGACUCUAAUAGAUUUUAAUAUAAUAAUGACUGUUGAAUCAUGUCAAAUUGAAAGUACCUAUGGGGCAGAUUACAACACACCUGCCCUUUCCAUUUUAAUCUUAAAUCAGUUUUUCCAGCCCACUGAAAAGCUACCUUAAUACAGCAAAAUACUGAAUACAAAAUUCAACCUUGCAAGUUUAUUUUAGUAUAAUAAUACUUUGGCAUUUCAGACAGUUUAGCUUACACCACAGUCCAAGGAUAUCUUUCGAGUUUACUAGACUAAUAUAUCCAUCAUAUCCCAAGCUAAGCCCUAUUAGAGACAUUUCUCUGUAUUCCAAGUCAGAAUAUGUUUAUUCAGUUUCAGUUUUAUUAUGUACUUUUUCCCAUUGCCCUGGAGCUUUGGAAAAAACAUUCCCUCAAUAGGUAGUUUCACUUCACUAAUAUCCAGGCUACUCAAGUGGUAUUACAAUUUUAACUUUGUUUCUCUGUAAAAAAGUGACCAAGACAGAGCGAUCAAGAAACACCCACAAAAGAUAAAGAACCCCUUCAAAAUAGAUGUUUCAGCCAUUUUUAAAUUAAAAAAAUAUACACAAUCUUAUUUCUCCAGUUAGGUAUCUAUAAAGGGCUUUUUAUGCUUUAAAAAAAGAAAAUAAAAUGGUUGCCUUUAGCUGAGCAUGUUUCCUUUUGACCUGUUGUCAUAGUCCAUUUUAGACAGAACUGAUUUCUAAAAAGCAGGGAAACAAAACUCUUUAAAAUGGGGAUAAUUCUUACCAUUCUUGUAAGGCACUUGCAAAUUAUUUAUGCCAGCUACAUAGCUAAUGAUCUUUACAUAACAGAACUAGGAAGAGGGAAAAAAAACAAACUCUUAUCUUUUUCUCCAUAGACUUCACUGAUGGAUAAACUGGAGCUAGUAGGAAAAGUCCAGAUCCAAGAGACCUUAGCAUCUGGAGUCCGACACGAGCGUCACAAUUCCACAUAAAUCCAAAACUGAAAUUCUGAAAAUCCCCAUUCAACCAUGGGUAAUUCUGGAAGAACCUAUCCUACAUUUUGUCCUUAAAUCCCUGGUCUAUUGGUUGUGUUUCCUUAUUUGCCUAGAACUGCCCCCAUCUUAAAAAGGUCAUGUAAUCCUCAAAGAAUCCAGAAAAUAAAUAUUCCAUCUCUGCUCAACACCUUGUGCUCUCCUUUUAGGCAUAAUCUUCCUUCAGUGUUCUUAUUUUUUUCCUCUUAAGGAGGAUUCUUCUGUUGUUCUGUAACUGCUAGUCAUUUAACAUGCAGCUGCUGCUUCAGGUUCUUCCACAGAGUUACAAAAAUGUAACACCCAUCCCUUUAGUUCAGUGGGACAAAGCCAAGAGCCCUGCUUAGCAAGACUACUUUUUAUCUGAGCUAUUUUCAGAUUUGGAGUAGAGCUUUAAAGUUGAUUCACUCAUUACUACCCUGGCAACCCAUCUGAACAAGACUAAGCCCAACCUUAUUUCUUUUCCUAUGCAGAGGGAGAGCAUAUGUGGGGGCAGGAUUAAAGCUGCACGAUCCUGAUCCAUGCAGAGGCCUUUAACAACUUUCAUGUUGCAGCAACUGUUGUGAAGACUGGAAAAGACUUGUGACUGAGGACUGACUUAACAAACUGUUUUUUCAUUUAGAAAAUUUUGAGGCUAUAAUGGGGAAGCUCAAAACAGCCUAUAACUUUGUCAUUUCUGGCCUGAUUUGGAUGAUACUUCAAGGAAUGGCAGCCCCUUCUGAGGACAUGAAGCCUGCCAAGUUUCAAGAAGAUAGGUACAGGGGUUUCAGGGAAAUUGCACCUCAAAUUCCUAAAAGCAAAAAAUUCAUGUCACGUGUAUAUGUUAAGCCACAGCAGGGUCCAAACUGCAGAGGUGGUACCCCUGCUGAGGCAACAAAGCCUGCCAAGUUUCAAGGAGAUAGGUGCAGGCGUUUGGGGGAAACUGCACCUCAAGCUGCAGACGAGCAAAACUUGUGACAUGGGUGACACUGUGCGUUAAGGUGCAGCAGGGUCAAAGCUGCAGGCUUGCAAGGCCCUGCUGUGGCCACAACGCCUGCCAGCUUUCAAGAUGGGUGCAGGGGGUUCUGGGGCCCUGCACCUUUGGCUGCUGACAGGCAAAACUCGUGAGAUGAAUAGGUGACACUGUGUGCGCGCUAAGGUGAACCCUCACUCAACUUGAUACCAAGGCAGAAAGCAGGGCAGUUCAAACAAUGCUGCCUUUUAUGCAGUUUUUCCAUCCUUCCCCCAGAGCACUGGGAUAGGAAGGGACCUCAGGAAAGGAUGACAGUCACUGGCCAGCUACACAGUCAAUAAUGAGAGCAGUCCUUCCCCCACUCUUUAAUUUAGUUUCUGUUUCCCUGCAAGCAAGCUCAGCUUGAGCUUUGAAACAUUUCGACUUGCCUCAUUUAAUUUCAAGGCUGUUUUGAAACUCUCUGCUUCGUUUUGAUUUUGCUGUUUCAAGCUCGAAAUGAGUUGAAACAGUGACAAAAAGAAACUGCAGGAGAAAUUUCACACAACCCUACCAAUCAAGAUCUCUUCUCCUUCAGACCAUCUGCCUGCCUCAGAGAACUGUUUAGCUUCUUGAUAACAAUGUAUCAAUUUUAUAUUGUUCCUUCCCUACUUAACCAAGAGCAAAAGAAACAAUUCAGCUCAUUACUAGCUUUCCCUUCAUGGGUAAAUUAAAACAGUGACACAAGUCUUAAUUGCAGAAAACCUACUUUCAUGUUUGGACAACUGUAACUAGACUCCACUUUUCCAUAUUAAAUUUCCAAAGUUUCAUAUUUAAAUUAAAGUGCACUUCCAAUUACAAGCAAGACUCUUAUUCUUUCAGGCACUGAUCACACAGGAAAACACAGAAUUAUUACAUAAUUUAGCUGUAACAGCAAAUAUUUCCUGUGUGUAGAGUAAGGGCAGGAGUGGUGGGGAGAAGUGUGACCUAUAGAUGGUCUACCCAGUGACAUUUUUAAAGGGAUGGGCAGUUUCAGCACUGAUAUUUUCCUUAAAAUAAAGUUACUGUCCUAUAACAUUAAACUGUGUUUGUAAUAAAGCUACAAUAAAAAAAAACUUAAAACAUUUAAGAUUAAAAAAACCCAACUUUUUUUUCAACUAUUUGGUUGGUCUAAUAAAACAUCUCACAUCUACCCAAAGAACCUUGUCUGCCUAUGUCCUUAGACCAACACAGCUAUAACCAUCAACUCUAAAACAUUUACAAAGUUCUAGAAGCGUUUAACUGGGCUCCGAGACAAGAUUUUUCCAUACACUGCACCAGCAUUACAUCACUGCUGAAUUUCACAGCACCACUACGUGCCCAUUUCAAGAAAGAAAAACAAGAGCUGUUGCAGAAAAUGUUAAGGCACCCAGGCAUGACAAACUUUUAGCUGUACCAUAUUUUUGGAUGACAAGCUGAUUGAAAAGAAAUUUGCAAUAUUUAGGGGGUUACAUAAUGUAAUUAAAGUUUACCUGUCACGGACACAUUUAGCACACAUGGAACCACCAUAAGCCCUGCUAACGUGCUUCUUUGUUUUGGACAGUCUCAUAAGGACUUUAGGACGUACAGCACGAAC